UUCCACUUUAUGAAAGUUCGUGUCCGAUCCAAGUAGGGUUCUUGAGGAACCAGAGGUGGAGGUCCCAAGGGAUCUCACCUGAGUUGAGCAGCUAUUGUGGAUCAUGGACACAUCAGUUAGUUAGUUUUGGAACAAGGAGAUUCAGAUGGAGAGGUCCUGUAGAAUCACCCCAGUUUGAGGAGUGUUCUUAGGAGAACCGGGAGUUUUGACUCCGGCAAUGCCGUGUCUCUUUUAGGAGAAAGUUUAGAGGUCUUGCUUGCUUGAUUGCUUGCUUGAUGUGUAUGUACGACGAUAUGUUCUUAUGUUAUGUUUUUAUGCAUGAGUAGUUGAGGAACAUUCGGGGACGAAUGUUCUGUAAGGGGGG
rnacentral:lncRNA from 1 species